rnacentral:tmRNA from 1 species
GGGGCUGAUUAUUGGUUUCGACUUCGUCGAUUGAGCCAGGGGAAGCGUGCCGGUGCAGGCUGGAGACCACCGUAAGCGUCGCAGCAACCUGAUAAGCGCCGAGAACACUCAGCGCGACUACGCCCUCGCUGCCUAAAGCGAGCGCGUGUCUGUCAGCCCGGAUACGUCCCUGAUCCGGAGUCUGGCAUCGACUAAGGGACUUGCCGCCGGGUCGCGUCAGCGGGGCCCGGCGGGACUUCCACCGCUGACUGGGCCCGUCAUCCGGACGUGUUCGCCUGAUCCGGAGGGCCGAGCAGAGACUCCGCGCGAACUGCGCACGGAGAAGCCCUGGCGAGGUGGCGAAGGACCCGGGUUCGAGUCCCGGCAGCUCCACCG